rnacentral:lncRNA from 1 species
GUAGACAGUUGCCUGUAAUUUAGUUGUCCCACAUCAAAGUUGUGCUGUGAUAUCUCUUUACUGUUUCUUCAAAACUUCAAAAGCCUGCUUAGCCUUGUUCAGGGACAACUCAGAUGUGUAUGGGAUGUUAGCAUCCCAGAUACAACCCCUGAGCAAUAGGUUAUCAGAGUUGGUGGACAAAUGUUCUGCCUCCUUGUGCUCUGAUGGGACAAUUCUGAGGCACAUUCUAAUAGCUCUUCGGAGGAUAUCAGAAGGAGUUGAGCACCAGUUGCCCAAUGAGGCUGUCAGCCUGUCCUCUUUUAUUCAUUUAUUUUUCUGUGGCUGACACUAUUGAUUGCAGUUCAGGUUUCAUGGAAAGCAGCUUCCAAGAUGGGGAUAGCACGCUGGAAAUUUACUGAAGAAUGCCUUUGGGAUCAACCACUGUAGAAGGGAAGGGAAGGAAGCAGGAUCAGACAGCAGUAGAAGUUGGGCUGGAAUGCAGCAAGGUGCCUCUGAAGCCCCAGCUCAGCCACUAGUUGGCUGUGUGAUCUCAGACAAGCCAAGCUCCAUCUCUGAGAUAUAGCUGCUUCAUUUGCAAAGUAAGAAGGUAGACGUGCAUGAUCAGCUGAAGAUGCUUCCUGCCUCAAUCCAGGACACCUGCGGCUCCAGGUCAGAGAUGCACCUGCUAGUCCUGCCUCUACAGGACCCAACCCAUCAGUUCCUAGCUUGUCCUUCUGGUGAGAAUUGAGCACACUAUACUGUGGACAUAAAGACAAAAACCAGCAAGAAACUGAGCUCGGCUCCCUGGCUCACAUAGACAUGGAACAGAGAUCACAUCUGUGAGUGGAGGAGCCAGACUUUUCAUAUAAGCACAUGUAAAACUUUUGAAGUUGGCUGAUCCAAGAAUAGAUUCAAAUUCUUCAGCCAAGAGUCUAGACCAACUGACUUUUUCCACUUCAUUGCCUAGGCUACAGGUGGCCAACUGUCUUGGCCCCCUAGGACUCACCUCUGUCUGUACCAGGUUGACCCUUUGGGCCCGGAGCUCACGCACGCAGUUGAAGAUGUCCACCACCCCUUCAUUCUCGGCCAUGUCAAGCAUGGUGUCAAUGGCAAUGAAGCAGCCAGUCCGCCCAGCCCCAGCACUGGAAGAGAGCAAAUGGGUUGACGGAUGGAAGCAAAGAAGGAGAGGAGAGAGAACAGAGGGGAGAUGAAUGACAGGACAGAAACGAGAGUCCUCUGAGCUGUCCCCAAGACAGAGAGUGGUUGGUGGAGCACCACGUUCAAAGGCCGGCAUCUGGCUCCACCUGCAGCUGUUUUCGCAGGAUCGUGAAGCAAGAGUGUCAUGAAACUGGAGCAGCUGACCGUCCGGAGACCCUUGUCAGGGAUCAAGUUUCUUGAUACAUACUUACUUGAUUUCUGGUCACUAGUGGCUUCUUUAGGAGAAUCUCAGACCAAGUAUAAAAUGGUAGGGGAACUCAACGAGACUCUAUGGGCCUUGGCCAGCCCUUUCUAGAUCAGUGCUGGGCUCUGAAACAUCAGUGCUGACCAAGAGGCACGUAAGACAUGUGCCUUACACAUGUGCAGUUUUGGAUGGGAAGGCCGGGCAGCCUGUCAAGGAGGCCCCCUUCCGCUGCGUUUUCACAUCUUGCCUUUCUCAUGGAAACAAGUGUCUUUGUCUAACAAUGUAGAUGUCAAAAGACACACAAAGAGGAAGAGAGAUGGAACAAGACAAAAAAGCAAUAUUGGCUCAUGGUAAAUCCAAGGGGCACAGGCCAGUGCGGACCACUACCUACAACAAUUUGGAAAGUACACCCAUUGGAAGCAGAGUCUUCAUUCAUGAGAAACUUUCAUGGUUUGAAUGAAGUCUGACUUAAGUUUGCUUCAGAACCUACUCCCCAAAAUCCAGAUGCGGGGACUCAAGAGACUUGGCCUCUGUGUCUGGGAGGGAGUAUAGGGGGGGUCACUCGUGUUUUUUUCUUCAAUGUUCAUAUUCACCAUGCUUUAGUAUAAAGAAUCAGCCCAAUUUGGUUCCAAAUUUUGGAACAACUAUCAAUCAAUCAGCGGUGACCAAGUUGCCUAGUGUCCGUUUGUUUGUUAGCUUCAGAUUUCUGAUGCUUUUAACAUACCUCCCUGCAGGGUCCUUGUGAGGACAAAGCUGUGUUUAUUUCAUUUCAGCAUCACAUAGUAAUUGAACACAGGAUAUUUGAAAAGACCCCCUAGGAUUAAAUCCUGGCUCUAUUACUUAUUAGCUGCAUGACCUCGGGCAAAUGACUUAACCUCUCUGGGUUUCAAUACUCAUCUAUAAAAUGAUGUUGAUAAUAAUUAAAAUACUCACUCAUCUAUAAAAUGAUGUUGAUAAUAAUUAAUAGAUCCACCUCACAGCAUUAAUAGCACAAUAUGUAUAAAUUGGAUGAAAUUACAAUUAAAAUGCAUAAUGCAUACAAAUUGCUUUGUGCCUGGAUACAUAGCCAUUUUUUAUUGAGAAAUUAUUACUAUUAUAUUCAACAAAUAUUUAUUGAAAAUCUAAGAUGCAGUAGAUGCUGGUAUUAGGAGUGGGAAUAUGAAAACAAACAAACAUUGUUCCUGUCCUGAAGGAUUAAUAAAUAAUCUGGGGAGGGGGAGAAAGAAAACAUUAAGAGGAGGCAGAGAAUAAUGAUAUAUUAGAGUGCUUACUAUAUGUCAGGCAUUCUCUCUUAGGCACUUAGCCAACCCAUUUGGUAAUAAUUUUCAGAAUGGCCCCAGGAGUGGGUACCACUCUGCUCAGAUGCAUUAAGAUGACCUGCUAAGGAGACACAUACCGGCGUAGAGCCAUCAUGCGCCGAAGUCCUGAUGAUAAACAAACAUUUGCCAUUGUCUUUCUUUCUUUCUCCCUAACCCUUGAUCUGGGUGCUCUUUGGGAUAUAGAGAUGGGGGGCAUUAAUGAUCCAUUGCCCUUUGAUUGCUAUGAGAUAUAAAGCAAAGCAGAAAAUACAUGCAAAACAUUUAGAGAGUCCAGGAUUACCUCCUCAUCCUCACUUGCCUUAUCUGUGAAAUGGGGUUGUGUAGCUACUAUUGCUGGGAAG